AAUAAUGGUGGCUCAGGCGGGGGCUUCGUAAGAAGCGCCGGUUCGUAUGUCCCGGUGACGCUAACCCCGUCUGGGCUACCACCC
rnacentral:antisense_RNA from 10 species